GUAGUAGUAGUAGUAGAAGAAGAAUCUUCCCUCCCCACAAUUCAUUGCGGUUUGCCGAGCGAUAUAAGUGUGUGUAUGACUUCCGUUCUGCCUCUCGGCACGCGGUCACCGUGCCGUUCAGGAACAUGUGCGUCUGCGUAUUAAAUGUGAGAUGUUGGGUCCCCUGCUGAACAAACAUCAAGGCGGAGUGGAAGCCAUGGGAUAAAGUUACCAGCCUUUGGGAGCGAACUCCCCGAGUUGCUGUGUGUGGAGCUGAUGGUCACGCUGCAGUCAGACUGAGGGUGCAGGUGGGUGGAGCAGCUGGUCUGCAGGGGGCAGCAGAUGCCUGCAAACAGACUCGUGCAGUGUUCAGAACAACCCAGCAGGAUAACGCUGAAGUGAGCGGAGAAGUUCCUGUCAGUCCAUCUGCUGGGUCGUCGGUGCGCCUCCAUGUUUCACCCUCUGCCUGCUCCACCUGAUUGAGGAUGAGGCAGUAGAUGGAGCUUGAUCUCUACAUUUUGUUGGAUAAGCAUGAGCAAUUGUUUGAGUUGAGUCAAAGGCUUAAAGAAUAAAUUGAUCUCAUAA